rnacentral:rRNA from 1 species
AGUGAACGCUGGCGGCAGGCCUAACACAUGCAAGUCGAACGGCAGCACGGCAGUAGCAAUACUGUGGGUGGCGAGUGGCGGACGGGUGAGGAAUACAUCGGGAUCUACCCUGUUGUGGGGGAUAACGUAGGGAAACUUACGCUAAUACCGCAUAAGAACUGAGGUUGAAAGCGGCGGACCGCAAGGCGUCGCGCGAUUGGAUGAACCGAUGUCCGAUUAGCUAGUUGGCGGGGUAAAGGCCCACCAAGGCGACGAUCGGUAGCUGGUCUGAGAGGACGACCAGCCACACUGGAACUGAGACACGGUCCAGACUCCUACGGGAGGCAGCAGUGGGGAAUAUUGGACAAUGGGCGCAAGCCUGAUCCAGCCAUGCCGCGUGGGUGAAGAAGGCCUCGGUU